AGUGAACGCUGGCGGUAGGCCUAACACAUGCAAGUCGAACGGCAGCACAGUAAGAGCUUGCUCUUACGGGUGGCGAGUGGCGGACGGGUGAGGAAUACAUCGGAAUCUACUUUUUCGUGGGGGAUAACGUAGGGAAACUUACGCUAAUACCGCAUACGGCCUACGGGUGAAAGCAGGGGAUCUUCGGACCUUGCGCGAUUGAAUGAGCCGAUGUCGGAUUAGCUAGUUGGCGGGGUAAAGGCCCACCAAGGCGACGAUCCGUAGUUGGUCUGAGAGGAUGAUCAGCCACACUGGAACUGAGACACGGUCCAGACUCCUACGGGAGGCAGCAGUGGGGAAUAUUGGACAAUGGGCGCAAGCCUGAUCCAGCCAUACCGCGUGGGUGAAGAAGGCCUUCGGGUUGUAAAGCCCUUUUGUUGGGAAAGAAAAGCAGCAGGUUAAUACCCCGCUGUUCUGACGGUACCCAAAGAAUAAGCACCGGCUAACUUCGUG
rnacentral:rRNA from 1 species